rnacentral:rRNA from 1 species
UACGUAGGGUGCAAGCGUUAAUCGGAAUUACUGGGCGUAAAGCGUGCGCAGGCGGUUUUGUAAGACAGGUGUGAAAUCCCCGGGCUUAACCUGGGAACUGCAUUUGUGACUGCAAGGCUGGAGUGCGGCAGAGGGGGAUGGAAUUCCGCGUGUAGCAGUGAAAUGCGUAGAUAUGCGGAGGAACACCGAUGGCGAAGGCAAUCCCUUGGGCCUGCACUGACGCUCAUGCACGAAAGCGUGGGGAGCAAACAGG